UUUAGAUCGCUGUUGUUUAUUCACUCACUUUAGAUCGCUGUUGUUUAUUCACUCACUUUAGAUCGCUGUUGUUUAUUCACUCACUUUAGGUCGCUGUAGUUUAUUCACUCGCUUUAGAUCGCUGUAGUUUAUUCACUCGCUGUAGUUUAUUCACUCACUUUAGAUCACUGUUGUUUAUUUACUCACUUUAGAUCGCUGUUGUUUAUUUACUCACUUUAGAUCGCUGUUGUUUAUUUACUCACUUUAGAUCGCUGUUUUUUAGUUACUCACUUUAGAUCGCUGUAGUUUAUUCACUCAUUUUAGAUCGCUGUAGUUUAUUCACUCACUUUAGGUCGCUGCAGUUUAUUCACUCUCUUUAAAUCGCUGUUGUUUAUUCACUCUCUUUAAAUCGCUGUUGUUUAUUCACUCUCUUUAGAUCGCUGUUGUUUAUUCACUCACUUUAGAUCGCUGUUUUUUAGUUACUCACUUUAGAUCGCUGUAGUUUAUUCACUCAUUUUAGGUCGCUGCAGUUUAUUCACUCACUUUAGAUCGCUGUAGUUUAUUCACUCAUUUUAGAUCGCUGUAGUUUAUUCACUCACUUUAGGUCGCUGCAGUUUAUUCACUCUCUUUAAAUCGCUGUUGUUUAUUCACUCUCUUUAAAUCGCUGUUGUUUAUUCACUCUCUUUAGAUCGCUGUUGUUUAUUCACUCACUUUAGAUCGCUGUUGUUUAUUCACUCACUUUAGAUCGCUGUAGUUUAUUUACUCACUUUAGAUCGCUGUUUUUUAGUUACUUUAGAUCGCUGUUGUUUAUUUACUCACUUUA